rnacentral:rRNA from 1 species
AUCUAUGGCCAGACCACCCCGAACGUGCCAGAUCUCGUCUGGUCUGGGAAGCUAAGCAGGUCGGGCCUGGUUGGUUCUUGGAUGGGAGAAUUGCUAUGGGCCAGCGGUU